rnacentral:rRNA from 1 species
CCUACGGGAGACAGCAGUGGGGAAUAUUGCACAAUGGGCGAAACCCUGAUGCAGCGACGCCGCGUGAGCGAUGAAGGAUUUCGGUAUGGAAAGCUCUAUCAGCAGGGAAGAAAAUGACGGUACCUGACUAAGAAUCCCCGGCUAACUACGUGCCAGCAGCCGCGGUAAGACGUCGGGGGCAAGCGUUAUCCGGAUUUACGGGGUGUAAAGGGAGCGUAGACGGGCCUGCAAGCCAGAUGUGAAAGCCCGGGGCUCAACCCCGGGACUGCAUUUGGAACUGUCAGGCUAGAGUGUCGGAGAGGCAGGCGGAAUUCCUGGUGUAGCGGUGAAAUGCGUAGAUAUUAGGAGGAACACCAGUGGCGAAGGCGGCCUGCUGGACGAUGACUGACGUUGAGGCUCGAAAGCGUGGGGAGCGAACAGGAUUAGAUACCCGGGUAGUC